UAAGACAUAAUUUUUUUAUAAAUAUUAGCUUCAUCUUUACACCUUAACUUUUAUUUCAGAAUUAAUCGAAUCCUCAUACAACACCUUAUUGCUGCCAAGCACUACUCAUCCUUCUAAGAAUCGAAGAAGCGAAGCUUUUACAUGUUCAGUUUGUGGAAAGUGCUUUAGUCGCAAAAUCAUUUGAAUCCUCUUACAUGGACUCAUUUCUGCCAUAUACUACUAAUUCUUCUAAGAAUCGAAAAAAAGGAGCAUUUGCUUGUUCAGUAUGUGGAAAGUGCUUUAGUCGCAAGUAUGUACUGCAGGUUCAUGAGCGGAUUCAUUCAGAAAAAAAGUUCUACUCUUGCCAAUUCUGCGACUAUACCUGCAAUCAUCUCUCAAAUUUAAAAAUGCACAUAGCCAAUAAGCAUGAAAGAAAUUUCUCCAAUUUUUGCUCCAUGUGUGGGAAUGGUUUUGAUUCCAGGAAUGAAUUGUUUAAUCAUAAAAACCAGGUGCAUCGAAAAUGAUUUCUAUUAAGAUGACAUGCUAGUUCUGUGAUUAUACUUAUAACAGUUUUUCUUGUAGAGGUGUUACUCAAUUUAUAAUCAUUAAAUAAAUUUUAUAAAGAUAUUUGUAUUGAAAUAAGGUGAGUUCUAGAUGUAAACUGACUCCAUAAAAAUCUUCUGCUACUGACGAAAAAGCAAUUAAUAUUGACUGUAAUAUUUUUUUUUUUUUUGGUGAUUAAUUGCGCAAAUUUAAAUAUAUUGCUAUGAGUUGGUCAUAUAUUUGUCUUUUAAAACUUAGAAAAACAAUUGCCAUUAUAUUUAAUAUUAAAGGUUCUAAAAAUAAAUUUUUUGCAAAAAAUAAUAAAUAAUUAUCUAAUUUUGUGUUGAAAUAAAUAAAUCUAAAAGAAUGUAUUUAUUUAUUUUUUUUAUUUUUUUGAUUCAUGGUAAUAUUUGUUUUUUCUAAGCAUGUACGGCUUGGAGAAUCAAUUGCCAUAGUUUUGUGUAUUAAAAUGAUUUAAGUUAUAGAAAUAAAUUGACUGUCUAUAAGGAGCUUUUAUAUAAAAAUAAUUUCAAGUGAUUGCACUUACAUACAAUUCAUACUGACUUAAGUAAAUUUAAAGAAAUAUAUAUAUUUCAAUAGUAAUGGAAUCAUUUGAUUUUCUAAGCUUUUCAGGCUUAAAAACCACGGCUAUGUGUGUUAAAAUGGUUUGAGUUCAUGAAAUGAAUUUAUUAAUCAUAAUAAUCUUUUGUAUAAAAAUAAAUAAUCUUAUAAUUCGAACUAAGACUAAUCAAAAGUUCAAAAUGAUAUUUUUCAGUUUUUAAAACUAAAUUAAUUGUGUAAAAUUGAAUUUCACAUUAAUUUUAACAGUGAUAGAUUGCCAUAUUUUGAUUCAAGCUAGUUCUGGAAAAAAAUUUGAAACAUUGUAUGCAUACACAUGCACACAGGUUUUUUCCAAACCGCAUAUCAAAUAGAAUAUUUGAAUAUCUACUCUAAAUUGACUCUUUUGUAUAACCGUUAAUAAGAAAUUCAUUUGUAUCUUUGAAAUAAUAUUAGAAAUAAACCUAUUUAUGUUUAUUUAUUUUUAGCUUAUGUAAUGAUAUCCAUUUAUUAUAUUCUGCAUUCAUGUUGUAUAAUAUGUGUGAAUUAACUUUUUAAAUAAAUUAAUUCAGUAUCUACUCUCAUUUUGUCCAAUUUAAUCAUAGUUAAUAAAAGAUUCAUUUGGGGAAAAAUUCUUGAAAGUAACGCAUGGAGUAAUGCUAUUUUAUUUUUUUAUUUGUUAACUUAUCCUUGUUUUUGGCAUUUGUUUUGAACUAUAUGAUACUCAUAUAAUAUUUUUAGAAUUCAUAUUGUAUUAAAUACUUUCUUUUCUUGCUGAUACUUUUAAUUAGAAUGAAUAUGUAUACUGUUUUUUUAAGUGUAAAAAAAGCUUUCACCAAGUGGCCUUCGACUUUUAAAAUUUUAUUUGAAUAUAAAUUUUAAACUUCACUCACCUAUUAUGUUUAUUAAUAUGUUAUAUUAGCAUUUUUUGUUUUUGCUAUUGUUCCUAUAUUCAUAAAAUAAUGUUAAGUGUAUAGAAUCAUUACUAUUAAGGGACUGUCAAAUCAAAUAAAAUUGAAUUAUGCACAAUUUCAUUAAUUAAUAUCAAAUUUACCCUACUGUCAAGGAUAAUCACUUUUUAUACCUUUAUUUAUUAUUUUGUAAAUAUUUAAGAACAUUUCUAAUAAAUCUUGCAAUUUUGCAGAUA